rnacentral:rRNA from 1 species
CACGUAGGGGACGAGCGUUGUCCGGAUUCAUUGGGCGUAAAGGGCGCGUAGGCGGCGCAACAAGUCACUUGUGAAAUCUCCGGGCUUAACCCGGAGCGGUCAAGUGAUACUGUCGUGCUAGAGUGCGGAAGGGGCUACUGGAAUUCUCGGUGUAGCGGUGAAAUGCGUAGAUAUCGAGAGGAACACCUGCGGCGAAGGCGGGUAGCUGGGCCGACACUGACGCUGAUGCGCGAAAGCCAGGGGAGCGAACGGG